rnacentral:misc_RNA from 1 species
AAUAAAAAUCUAAGGAAAGCCAAUACGUUUUUUAGAGCGAGAGUAUUCACACUGGGAAAAAUGAAAAUUACAUAAGGAAAACAUAAAGGAAUUUUCGUAAAUUUUCAUAUUGAUAAUGUGACUAUGAUAGAGAUCAAGUUGUACAAUUGUAUAUAUCAUAGCAUCUUUAUACAUCUAAGAGAAACAGCUUGGUGCUGCUUUUUUUAAAUAUAAUUAUGCUGUUUUUCGUUAGUCAUUCUGUGAAAAGAUAUGUUGAAUUGUUGUUACUUUGAUUUCCGUCCAUCAUAUUGUUUUAAGAUUUGUUUUUGUUGUAAGACUUUGUCAAACAAUAAAGAUCACUUUUUAAAAUCUU